CCUUCUUCAGCGGCAAGAUGUGAUCCCAACACGGAGGGACGCCAAUAAGGUGCUUGAGGAAACUAGAAGAGAAUGUUGGAUCCCCUGGACCUGGAGUUACAGGCAGUUGUGAGGUGCUUGAUGUGUGUGCUGGGAGAGGAACCCGGAUCCUCUGCAAAAGCAGGCCACAAGCUGAUGUAUAAGACUUCAACACAUGAACCUGUGUGGACAUUCUAUAUCCAAAACAUAUCAGAAUGACAAGGCAAUGAUUUCAGAGGUAAAUAUUCUGGCUCAUGGAGAGCUCAGUGAUGCGGUUCUUAAACUGAAGACUCAAAGCAAGAUAAGAGGAGACCAUGUUGCUUCAUAAUAACUAUUUUCUUUAUGUCAAAUGAAAGACUGGGAAAAGCAGAAGGAGAUUUAUUUAAUGUGGCUACUUAGGGAAGAGGAUCCAGUGACCACCCCGCCACCCUAUCAUCUCUGGAGUGCAAGAAAGAUGUUUACACUCGGGAGGCAGAGGCAGAGGCAGAGGCAGCUCUGUGAGUUCGAGACCAGCCUGGUCUACAAGAGCUAGUUCCAGGACAGCCUCCAAAGCCACAGAGAAACCCUGUCUUGAAAAACCAAAAAAAAAAAAAAAAAAAAAAAAGAUGUUUAACUAGGUAGCCCAGCCACCGUUUCCCUUAGCUCCAAAUCUUUCCAGUAAGCUCACCUAACAAGUUGCAAUCUUUGUCCUGGAGACAAGUUCCUCCUCUGGGUGUCCCAGACCCCGUUCCUCCCAGCCAGAGAUCCCUGGGGAAUCUACUUUCUUGGGACCCACUCUUUCAGUAGUGUGAUAGUCAAAGAGUAGAGCACAAGAGGUUGGUAAGACAACAACGUUUUUGGAUAUCAUUUCUGCCCAUCCAUCUUGGCCCCUGUCUAUUGUUCUCUGUACAUGACCUAGCAUCUUUUAUGACCAUUAGGCAGAGCCUUUGGAACGUAUGAACAGACCCCUAGUUCCACCAACCAAAGGGCCAAGACUGCUUCCAGACAGCAUCUGAGGCCAACAGCAGAGUCCCUCCCACUUUGCUGUAACCCCCUACCUGAGGUGUGCACAUGGAUGCAUUUGUAUAAUGUAUUAUUGUAUGAUCUUCCUUGUCUUGUUACUAUAAAAGGCUCAUGAAAUCAUUACCUCAUUGGAACGUGGUAUUUGGAGAAACUCAAAUCUGUUCUGGGCUGUAUCUCUCGUGUUUGGCUCUAGAAUAAAACAUCUGUG
rnacentral:lncRNA from 1 species